UAAUAGUGAGUGAACUUGCUGGGCAAGUGUGGCUCUAAUUGAAUAAACAACAAUAGAAAAAUGGGAAGGGAUGUCAAUGCGCACCUAAUUUCAGUUUAAUUUAUACUUUGUGAUAUUCUUUUUUUAAUCACUGUAUGCUUUAGACAACAUCUCCAUACUAACAAUGUUAAAUUCUAGGAGUCCUCCAUGACUGUUGAUGCACAUCGCUGAUGUUCUCUUCAUUCCCCGGAUAGUAGCAUCAAUUAAGGCAUUCUGUUCUUUUGCUUCCUCCAAAGCAACAGACAUGGAAGUCAAGCUCUCAGUCAGCGUAGUUACAGCUCUUCAUUGAACUUGACUCGCUUUUGAACUCCAAGAUCAGCAAUUCUUGGCGGGUUGCACUUUUACGUGAACUAGUUGUUGGUAAAACUGAUUGUAAUUGCAAGAGUGAUUCUACUUAUUUUGCUUAAUUUAAUUGGUACUCAUUCUGCUGUCAAAUAAUUUGAAAUGUAAUAUUUCAGUCCGUUUGUAAACUGGGUUUAGCCAAUUUUACUCCUAGGCAUUGGUUUACUCA